GUGUGUGUGAGGGUGCCGUGAGGGUGUGUGUGAGGGUGUGUGUGGGUGUGUGUGUGUGUGAGGGUGUGUAUGUGUGAAAGGCACUGGGAAAAGAAUCCCAUGCUAAAUGCCCAAGAGCCCAGAGGAGAGGAAGACGGGGCCAGGAGCCUACAGAGGAGGAAGGGUAGCCAUUCUGGGCCUGGAGACCCCCACCUUCCUCCCCUAAAAUACAGGGAAGAAGAAGGCCUGCCCUAGAGGCCAGUAGGAGCUGAGCAAAAGGAAUCCUAAGUCCAAGAGAGGAGCAGAGGACCUGGCCGCCAGCUCCACCCUCCCUCCCAGGGCCAAAUUUAGCCUGGGCUUAGAAGCUGCGGCCCAGCCAGCUCAUUAAAGGGCCCACGACCCUUUGGGCCUGUGCUGUCAGACCCACCCGGGCCCUAGGACACCUCCAGCCCUCAGAGCUCCCAGCCCCUUCAUCCCAGAGCCCAGCUCCCAGCCCCAUUCCCUGGAUCCCCAGCUGGCCAUGGCAUUAACACCCCAAAGCCCUUCUGGCGCCUGCCUCACCCAACCCAGAUCCCUCUUCUGUGGGCCCUCCACACCUCCGUCUUACCACCCCUAAAUCCUGCCCCCUCAUCCUGGGCCUCCCCGCUGAACAAGGCCCCAACUUGCCCACGAGGAGAGGAGUCCAGAAGAGUGUCUCAGCCAUGGCUGCCCGGCCUGGCCCGCCCGGCCAAGCUGGGUGUCCCCUUAGCCCCUGCGUGCUUUCCUGGGCACAACACAAUCACACAGACUGCUCCAAGCUCCUCGAAGACUAGGAUCUUGUCACGUUUGUGCCAUCCACCCAGCCUUUAUCCCCAGUCCAAGCACUUCAGCGUGGAGGUCUAGCAAGCCCUGGACAGGACCAGCCAGCUAGAGACAGCUGGAAUAAUUAUAGACAGAAACUGCCCCUUGCGAUUUGGUUACUGAGUGGGAAAGUUCGUAAAAGGAAGACGGGAGAAACGCUGGACUCUUCCUGUAUUAAACAGUUUCUGAAUAAAGAGCUGUUUCCCUAGCAUCCUCCAAACUCUGGCCAGUCCGAGCUUCUUUGGUAGUAGUAGAAUGAUGAUACAUGGUUUACACCUAUCUGACUGCUUCAGUCCAUUGCAACUAGGGUCCCUUCUGGUGCUCACAUUGCCUAUCUUUAGCUCUCCGUUUUGUCAUCCCCAGUUGGGGCGUCGGUCAGGAGAGCUGGAGGGGUCGGGGCUCGUACCCCACCUCGCACAGCUGGUGCCCUUGCCGUGCCCUAGGCUCCGCCGGUACUUCCCCGGCCUCCGCCUCACUCCUGCGGCCCAGCCCUGUCCUGAGCUAGUCGCUUCUCUGUCCUGGCCUUUUUGACAUCCGCAUCCGUCUCUCCAGCUUUCUGCCCCGUCUCUGCCCACCAGUGCCUAAAUGUAAGCCCUCUGGUCCUUUGUCCCUGUAUCUCCCCAUCCCAGUGAAUGUUUGCUGAAUGAACGAAUGACUGCUGUCCAGUGUGUCUCAUUCAGCUUCAGUUUCUGUGCACCUGUCUCUAAGUCUCUUGAGGUCUGAGGCCGUGUUUUCUUUAUCUGCAUCUAUACGUUGCCGUGAGGGACAAAGGAAAGGGCUUCUCGUCAUUGUGAUCUGAUUCUCGCAUCUGCCUCCCAGACUCCACCCACAUCUUUCUCCCCUGUCCCGUACGCCGCCUCCAGCGCAACAACAAAGACUGCGACCUGGCCAGUCCGCCACGAGAGGGCGCGUUCGCUGGCGCCAGCCCGGUCUUGCGCCUGCGCGAUGUUGGGACGGAGCGGGAGUCGGGGGCGGGAUGCCUGCGGAGCGCGCCGCCCCGGGCUGGGGAUGCGCGUCAGCAGUGCGUGCUGGGGGACGCAGUUACAGGGGGCGACGCAGGAGGGAACCCAAGGCCACGAGCUCCAUCUCGUCCUCCCCUUCCCGACCCAGAAAACGCUCUAAUCUACAGGGGGAGGAGAAGCCGCACGGAGGCAGGGGGCUGGACAUAAUGAUCUCUUCCCCAUCCCACCUCCACCCAUCCCACCAUCUGUAUCAAGCCUCCGACUUCCAAGGACAUUUCCAUAUCCCCCCAGACAUUUUGGGAUACCAGCCUGGAGACCUAAAUGUACCCAGAAUCCCCCGCCUUUUUAUCGGUGGAUUUCAGCCCUCAAAGCGUUCCGUGAGCCUCUGACCGCCCAAAUCCAUCACACAUGAGUUGGAAUGCCAGGGACCAUUCCCGGCCAAACGUUAGAUUACAGGAGUAAGAGAGAAGAGGAGGGACUGUCCGAGGUGCCUCGGCACUAUGGCUGCACAGCUGGAUCUCUGGACACGGAGCCCUGGACCGUUUCCACCCAGACACUCCCAUUCCAUCAAGUGGGGGUGUGGACGUUUAUGCAAUUCUGGAAGGUCUCCUGGUGGGGACCCCUGGGAAAGAGACUAAUAAGAAAGCAUCCAGUUUCUUCGGUCUCUGACGUUGUUGUCUGCACAAGAGAGUUAAGGCAGCCAUCUUGGGACCAUGAGGGAGCCAGUCUAAGAGGCAAAUCAACACAAUGAGAGGGUGUUGGAAAAAGACAAAAAGAACCUGGUCCUUGAUGUCACAGCCAGGCCUCUGAAUUAACCACCCCCAGGACUUCUUGUUACGUGAGCUAAUAAACGUUCCUUUUUGCUUAAACCCCUUCUAGUUGGGCUUUCUGUUGUAACUUGCACCGAAAACUACAAUAGGAUAGCAAAGGAUAUGAACAUAAGUGAUUUGCCUAGAGGAAACCCACAUGGUCAAUGAGAAUAAGAUGCUCAGCCUCAUAGGCAGGGAAUGCAGCUUCAAAUGAGAUGCCACUUCAUGCCUAUCAGAUUGGCAAACAUAAGUCUAACAAGAGCAAAAGUUGGCAAGGAUGUGGUAAAACAGGAUGUCUUGUACAAACGCUGGUGGUGAGAGGAUCAAUUGGUUCAGACGCUGUAGAGAGCAGUUUGGCAGUACUAGUCAACUUCAAAGUGUGCCUGCCCGACAAUCCUAGCUUUCUAAGUAUAUGCCCUAAUAAUGGGUUCAGAGAAAAGUCCAAGCAUGUUCAUUGAAGCCCUGUUUAUAUAACAGCAAAACAGGCCCGGUGCAAUGGCUCAUGCCUGUAAUCCCAGCACUUUGGGAAGCUGAGGCAGGCAGAUCACUUGAGCU
rnacentral:lncRNA from 1 species